UACGGGGGGGGCAAGCGUUGUUCGGAAUUACUGGGCGUAAAGGGCGCGUAGGCGGCCAACUAAGUCAGACGUGAAAUCCCCAGGCUCAACCUGGGAACUGCGUCUGAUACUGGAUGGCUUGAGUUCGGGAGAGGGAAGUGGAAUUCCAGGUGUAGCGGUGAAAUGCGUAGAUAUCUGGAGGAACACCGGUGGCGAAGGCGGCUUCCUGGACCGACACUGACGCUGAGGCGCGAAAGCCAGGGGAGCAAACGGG
rnacentral:rRNA from 1 species